rnacentral:rRNA from 1 species
CCCUUAGAUGUUCUGGGCCGCACGCGCGCUACACUGGUGCGUUCAACAAGUUUACAACCUUGAUUGACAAGUCUGGGUAAUCUUUUGAAUGCGCACCGUGCUAGGGAUAGAUUAUUGCAAUUAUUAAUCUUGAACGAGGAAUUCCUAGUAAACGCAAGUCAUCAGCUUGCAUUGAUUACGUCCCUGCCCUUUGUACACACCGCCCGUCGCACCUACUGAUUGAAUGACUCGGUGAAAAAUUGGGACCGUGAGAACAAUUGAUUCAUUUCAAAUGUACUCGUGGGAACUUUUUUUAACCUCGCCAUUUAGAAGAAGGUGAANUCGUANCA